rnacentral:rRNA from 1 species
GUCGGGGUAGUAGGACCACGUUGUGGCAAGAGAUUAAGGAAGUAGAACGUUUUGGAACAAACGGCCAUAGACGGUGAAAGCCCGGUACAUGACUCCCUUACGAAGCCUAGUGGAAUCCUGAGUAGCGCGGAGCACGAGAAAUUCUGUGUGAAUCAGCGGGGCCCAUCCCGUAAGGCUAAAUACUCCCGAGAGACCGAUAGCGAACCAGUACUGUGAAGGAAAGGUGAAAAGCACCUCGAACAGAGGAGUGAAAUAGUCCCUGAAACCGUCUGCCUACAAGCGGUCGGAGCAACGUAAGUUGUGACGGCGUGCCUUUUGCAUAAUGAACCUACGAGUUACUUUCUCCGGCAAGGUUAAGGGCUUCAGGCCCGGAGCCGAAGCGAAAGCGAGUCUUAAUAGGGCGUGAUAGUCGGAGUGAGUAGACGCGAAACCAAGUGAUCUACCCUUGGUCAGGAUGAAGGUUGGGUAACACCAACUGGAGGUCCGAAUGGGUAUACGUUGAAAAGUGUUCCAAUGAACUGAGGGUAGGGGUGAAAGGCUAAUCAAACUUGGAGAUAGCUCGUACUCCCCGAAAUGCAUUUAGGUGCAGCCUUUAUUUAGUAUAGCAUGAGGUAGAGCGACUGAUUGGAUGCGAGGGCUUCACCGCCUAUCAAGUCCAGAUAAACUCCGAAUGCGUGCUAUAUAUUGAUAAGGAGUGAGGGCGCGGGUGCUAAGGUCCGCGUCCGAGAGGAGAAGAAUCCAGACCAUCAGCUAAGGUCCCCAAAUAACAGUUAAGUUGAACUAACGAAGUCGGACUGCAGAGACAGCUAGGAUGUUGGCUUGGAAGCAGCCAUUCAUUUAAAGAGUGCGUAACAGCUCACUAGUCGAGGAGUCCGGCGUGGAUAAUACUCGGGCAUAAACUGUUUACCGAAGCUAUGGAUGUGUAAACACAUGGUAGGGGAGCAUUCCAACGGCGUCGAAGGUGAAGGAUGACCUUUGCUGGAGCUUUUGGAAACGCAAAUGUAGGUAUAAGUAACGAUAAAGGAGGUGAGAAACCUCCUCGCCGAAAGACUAAGGUUUCCUGAUCAACGUUAAUCGGAUCAGGGUAAGUCGGGACC